rnacentral:rRNA from 1 species
UAGCGUAUAUUAAAGUUGUUGCAGUUAAAACGCUCGUAGUCGGAUUUCGGGGCGUGCGAGCCGGUCUGCCGAUGGGUAUGCACUGGCUUUCGCGCGUCCUUUCUUUCGGAGCUCUCUGCUGCUCUUAGCUGAGCGGUGGAGGGAGACGGAUCGUUUACUUUGAAAAAAUCAGAGUGUUUCAAGCAGGCAGCUCGCUCUUGCAUGGAUUAGCAUGGGAUAAUGAAAUAGGACUCUGGUGCUAUUUUGUUGGUUUCGAACACCGGAGUAAUGGUCAACAGGGACAGUCAGGGGCACUCGUAUUCCGCCGAGAGAGGUGAAAUUCUCAGACCAGCGGAAGACGAACCACUGCGAAAGCAUUUG